rnacentral:tRNA from 1 species
GGUUGUGGCUCAGUGACAGAGCGCUUGCCUAGCAUGUGUGAGAUACUGGGUUCAAUCCUCAGCACCA